UGUUGCAUCGAACCGUCGAACAACCCCUGUCUUCCUCUGUGCGUUCCUCCUCCACAUCAUCGGUCAGAACCCUCUCUUCCGUCGAAACCAUCACCCGUCGUUGCCUCCACUCGCACAGCACCGCCGGACAUCAUCGUGCUUGACAGUGAAGGAUGCAAGCUGUGAAAGUUUUCUUUUUGCGAGCCACAUGUCCAAGUCGUGUUAGUUCGAGUCGUAUUCCUUCACCGAGCCUCGUGAGUCAUCUCUGUGGAUCCGAGCCGUUUCGUGUAAGCCAUACGCGAGCCACGCGCAACUGAGCCAUUCCUGUGUGAGUCGUAUGCCAGCCGUGAGUCUCAAGACUCGAGCUGAAGCGUUGUUAGUCGAGCCACCUUCAGUUUUAGCCGUCUGCAACAUAUUUAAGCCCUUGGUGAGUUUUUGCUUAAUUCUCGUUGGGUUUGGUACACCCAAAUAAUUAUUGUUUUGGGUCUAAAAUGAGUUAGCACUGGAAUGAGUUGAAUUAUGUUGUUUGAGAUGGUCGUAUAAAUAGUUACUUUGAAAACCAUAUUAUGAUUUAGAUAUAGUAUUAUUUGUUGAGGCAUGCUAUAAUCAAAUAUGUUACUUUUGAGUUAUGUGUAAUUGAGCUAAGAUGUUGAUCUUAUGAUAAACAUGUAUAGGCUAUAGUGUUCUGUUAGUUUUGCCUAUUAGAGUUGUACCGUAUGGGGGUCCAUCAGGGUCACCACCUAUGUAUGCAUGUGUGACUUGGUUGAGAUGUGAUUCGAUGGGAUCACUUACAGUCUGACUCUCCUAUAGGAUGAUUCCUUCGGGUUCACCGAGAGCCUAGAUGUGUCCCUACGGAACCACUUGAUAGUAUGCGUUCGGGAGCGCAAUAGUAUGCGGUACCAUGCUACAGGACUCUAACGAAAGGUUAACAGACACAUAGUGAGACCACU
rnacentral:lncRNA from 1 species